ACCAGACUCCUACGGGAGGCAGCAGUGGGGGAUAUUGUACAAUGGGGGGAACCCUGAUGCAGCGACGCCGCGUGGGUGAAGGAGUAUUUCGGUAUGUAAAGCCCUAUCGGCAGGGAAGAAUUUAGACGGUACCUGACUAAGAAGCCCCGGCUAACUACGUGCCAGCAGCCGCGGUAAUACGUAGGGGGCGAGCGUUAUCCGGAUUUACUGGGUGUAAAGGGAGCGUAGACGGCUGGUCAAGUCUGAAGUGAAAGCCCGGGGCUUAACCCCGGAACGGCUUUGGAAACUGAGCAGCUAGAGUGCUGGAGAGGUAAGCGGAAUUCCUAGUGUAGCGGUGAAAUGCGUAGAUAUUAGGAGGAACACCAGUGGCGAAGGCGGCUUACUGGACAGUAACUGACGUUGAGGCUCGAAAGCGUGGGGAGCAAACAGGAUUAGAUACCCCCGUAA
rnacentral:rRNA from 1 species